UACGAAGGAUUCGAGCGUUAUCCGGAUUUAUUGGGUUUAAAGGGUGCGUAGGCGGGUUUGUAAGUCAGUGGUGAAAGCCCUCAGCUUAACUGAGGAAUUGCCGUUGAUACUGCAAGUCUUGAGUACACUUGAGGUGGGCGGAAUGUAUCAUGUAGCGGUGAGAUGCUUAGAUAUGAUACAGAACACCAAUUGCGAAGGCAGCUCACUAAAUUGUAACUGACGCUGAGGCACGAAAGCGUGGGUAUCAAACAGG
rnacentral:rRNA from 1 species